AUGACUGGUGUCCUUGUAAGAGACAGAAGAGGAGACACAGACACAGAGGAGAAACCAUGGGAUGAUGGAGGCAGAGAUGGGAGGGACACAGCCACCAGCCCUGGGACGCCUGGAGCCCCAGAUGCUGGAAGAGGCAGGAAGGACCCUGGUGUACAUUGCACCCAAAGUUCCAUCCUUUUUCCAUAUCCAAACCACCUUGAAUUAUUGUGCAUAGCACUAUGGCAGCCUUGUUCCCUUUGCACUCUUGGCUCUGGGGUCUCGGAACACUUAAGACACUCUGUGAAACAAAACAUCCUUUGAAGCUGCAUCUACCAUUUCUGGAAAUUAAAGUAGCAUCAUCCUCCUUAGAGAUAUUACUGGCAACACAUGGCUUGGGGAAAGUCUUUCCCUAAAUUCUAAAUGCUCCAAAACCUAUAGCACCAAGUGUUCUAUGCCUUUGCCCAACUAAUCCAUUCAAAGUUCUGGUCAACUACCAAACUUUGGUCACAUCUGUUGACUACUGAUCAUUUUUUUUGAAUACAUAGAGUACUGUAUUUCUUUCACAACACAGGCUCGUGGAAAAAUGAGAUCCCUACGUCUUCCGUUGUAUGCACCUGUGCUUCCUACGUGGCUAAAUCAUUCCCACCUUUGUGGAUUAUUGGUUAAUUCAUUCUGAAUUCAUUGUGAAUUAUCUCUCAUUUCCCUAUGGUUUCCUUAAGUAUCUUCAGAUGCCUUCCUUUGUCUGCUAUGUCAACUCUUCCUGCACCGUCCAGUUCAUGUACUACGUCAGGAUUGGAGUCUUGGUCAUUUACUCUACUGAGAAAUCUGCUAUCCCUAGAGUCUUAAACAGCAAUUGCUCUUUGUACCACGACGUCUAGGAUGCAAUUAAAUGUCCGUUAAUCUUACGAUAAUAGGCCUGCAGUGGUUUCAGAAACAAAUCCUCAUUAGAGCCAACAAAUACCCUUUCUCAUAGGGGAUACGAAGGCACUCUGUACAAUGUGGGAAACGGUUUCUACCCGACUUCUCAUGGGAUUAAGGAGUUUAAUUUCCCAUUUCUGAGGAAAAUAGGCUCACCCUUCUAUGGAGACUGAGCUCCCGAGGAUUAGACAGGAAGAAUUGAUAGAGUGAAAUCAACGCAAAGCACAAGGAGAAAAAAAUCACACACACUCUCAAUCAUUGUUUAAUUCUAUAAAAGUAUUUAGCAGCACUUAGGAGAUAAAGUCUGAAACCAAAUGCUAAAACCUAAAAUAAAUUAUUAGCAAGAAAGACA
rnacentral:lncRNA from 12 species